UCCAGAGACUGUGUGUGUCUGACUCUGCUGUGUACUACUGUGCUUUGAGGCCCACAGUGUUAACAGGAUGCCUCUCUCUCAUACAAAAUCAAAAGAAACAUAUACAACUGAAGAGGGAGGAGUGAUUGGACCUGAUGUCAUUAGCCACACCCACAUUAGUAAUAAACAACAGAACAACUCUCCAUGUAUAGUAACUAAUCAUUUGUGUAAAACAGUCUUCAGAUCAGAUCAGUCUUCAAAAAUCUGAUUAAAAGUAUAAACAUGGAGAAACAUAUACUGCUUAUUGUCAUAACAGUAUCAGGAGUAUUUGCUGACAGCAUUGGACCAAAAGACAAGGAUGCUAUAAUCAGUAAAGAAGGAGAGUCUGUAACACUGAGCUGCAUUUAUGAUACAAGCAGCAAUGAUGUUUUGCUUUACUGGUACAAACAGUAUCCCAACAAUAAACCUCAGUAUUUAUUGUAUAAAGGUGCUCGAUCAUGGAACACUGAAGAGGAUAUACCAGACAGUCGCUUUCAGUCGACUACAUCCCAAACAUCCACUGAACUCACUAUUAACAGUGUAACUCUGUCAGAUUCAGCUCUCUAUUACUGUGCUCUAAGAGUUGGAGCCCAGUGAUACAAAAUGCCUGAGAAGC